rnacentral:rRNA from 1 species
CUAGUAAUCGCGAAUCAGAAUGUCGCGGUGAAUACGUUCCCGGGUCUUGUACACACCGCCCGUCACACCAUGGGAGUCGGAUAUGCCCGAAGCCGGUGACCUAACCGCAAGGAAGGAGCCGUCGAAGGUGGAGCCGAUGACUGGGGUGAAGUCGUAACAAGGUACC